rnacentral:rRNA from 1 species
AACGUAGGUUCCGAGCGUUAUCCGGAUUUACUGGGCGUAAAGCGCGUUCAGGCGGUUUGGCAAGUCGGGCAUGAAAUCUCUCGGCUCAACCGGGAGAGGUUGUCCGAUACUGCUGGACCUGAGGGCAGUAGAGGGUGGUGGAAUUCCGGGUGUAGUGGUGAAAUGCGUAGAUAUCCGGAGGAACACCAGUGGCGAAAGCGGCCACCUGGACUGCACCUGACGCUGACACGCGAAAGCUAGGGGAGCGAACGGG